rnacentral:sRNA from 1 species
UGGACAUGUGGGACCUCAACUCGUUGGC